rnacentral:rRNA from 1 species
CCUACGGGUGGCAGCAGUGGGGAAUAUUGCGCAAUGGGCGCAAGCCUGACGCAGCGACGCCGCGUGAGGGAUGAAGGUCUUCGGAUCGGAAACCUCCGUCAGCAGGGAAGUACGGUCACUGUGCUAAUCAGCAGUGAAUUGACGGUACCUGCAAAGGAAGCACCGGCUAACGCCGUGCCAGCAGCCGCGGUAAUACGGAGGGUGCGAGCGUUAAUCGGAAUUACUGGGCGUAAAGCGCUCGUAGGCGGUAUGUCAAGUCAAGGGUGAAAUCCCCGCGCGCAACGUGGGAACUGCCUUUGAAACUGGCAAACUGGAGUGUGUGAGAGGAUAGUGGAAUUCCAGGUGUAGGAGUGAAAUGCGUAGAUAUCUGGAGGAACAUCAGUGGCGAAGGCGACUAUCUGGCACAUAACUGACGCUGAGGAGCGAAAGCGUGGGUAGCAAACAGGAUUAGAUACCCCGGUAGUC